GGAAUUGACGGGGACCCGCACAAGCGGUGGAUGAUGUGGAUAAUUCGAUGCAACGCGAAGAACCUUACUACCCUUGACAUGUCCGGAACUUGCCAGAGAUGGCUUGGUGCCCGAAAGGGAACCGGAACACAGGUGCUGCAUGGCUGUCGUCAGCUCGUGUCGUGAGAUGUUGGGUUAAGUCCCGCAACGAGCGCAACCCUUGUCCUUAGUUGCUACGCAAGAGCACUCUAAGGAGACUGCCGGUGACAAACCGGAGGAAGGUGGGGAUGACGUCAAGUCCUCAUGGCCCUUAUGGGUAGGGCUUCACACGUCAUACAAUGGUCGGUACAGAGGGUUGCCAAGCCGCGAGGUGGAGCCAAUCCCACAAAGCCGAUCGUAGUCCGGAUUGUUCUCUGCAACUCGAGAGCAUGAAGUCGGAAUCGCUAGUAAUCGCAGGUCAGCAUACUGCGGUGAAUACGUUCCCGGGUCUU
rnacentral:rRNA from 1 species